rnacentral:rRNA from 1 species
AACGAACGCUGGCGGCAGGCCUAACACAUGCAAGUCGAACGCUCCGCAAGGGGAGUGGCGCACGGGUGAGUAACACGUGGGAACCUACCUUCUGGUACGGAACAACCAAGGGAAACUCUGGCUGAUACCGUAUACGACCUCCGGGUGAAAGAUUGAUCGCCGGAAGAGGGGCCCGCGUCCGAUUAGGUAGUUGGUGAGGUAACGGCUCACCAAGCCUGCGAUCGGUAGCUGGUCUAGAGAGGAUGACCAGCCACACUGGGACUGAGACACGGCCCAGACUCCUACGGGAGGCAGCAGUGGGGAAUAUUGGACAAUGGGCGCAAGCCUGAUCCAGCCAUGCCGCGUGAGUGAUGAAGGCC